AUUCUUUCUAUGUGUUCGCUCUUAUUGAACCACUCUCUGUUCUUAUUAGGUUAAUAUGUGAUACGAAUACUAUUUGUGUCCAAGAUACUAAACUUGUUUUUGCAAUGCGGAGCAGUGCCUGAAGCUUGCUUCUACUCCGCCAUGGGUUGACCCGGUAUUGCACUAUCUCUGGGAUCAGCCGACUCGCC